UGGGGAAUUUUGGACAAUGGGCGAAAGCCUGAUCCAGCAAUGCCGCGUGUGUGAAGAAGGCCUUCGGGUUGUAAAGCACUUUUGUCCGGAAAGAAAUCCUUGGCUCUAAUACAGUCGGGGGAUGACGGUACCGGAAGAAUAAGCACCGGCUAACUACGUGCCAGCAGCCGCGGUAAUACGUAGGGUGCAAGCGUUAAUCGGAAUUACUGGGCGUAAAGCGUGCGCAGGCGGUUUGCUAAGACCGAUGUGAAAUCCCCGGGCUCAACCUGGGAACUGCAUUGGUGACUGGCAGGCUAGAGUAUGGCAGAGGGGGGUAGAAUUCCACGUGUAGCAGUGAAAUGCGUAGAGAUGUGGAGGAAUACCGAUGGCGAAGGCAGCCCCCUGGGGCCAAUACUGACGCUCAUGCACGAAAGCGUGGGGAGCAAACAGGAUUAGAUACCCUGGUAGUCCAGCGCCCUAAACGAUGUCAACUAGUUGUUGGGAUUCAUUCUUAGUAACGUAGCUAACGCGUGAAGUUGACCGCCUGGGGAGUACGGUCGC
rnacentral:rRNA from 1 species